rnacentral:tRNA from 1 species
UUGUAUGUAGCUUAACUUAAAGCAUAGCACUGAAAAUGCUAAAAUGGCAUGACCCUCCAACAAA